GCCUACGUGGUGUAAUGGUUAACACACUCGACGCGUAUUCGUGAGAUCCGUGGUUCAAGUCCCGGCGACGACA
rnacentral:tRNA from 1 species